CUAAGUUCUAAAUAUAACUACCUUCUUCCCUAAGUUCUCGACGCCGAACCCUUUACCCGUGCCCUAAGCCUUCCUCUGUCGCCGACUUCUCUCGAUCUCCCCUCCCUCUCGCGGCGCCAAAAGCUUUCUCCACCUCAUCUCAACGCCGAGCCUCGCGAUUCCCCUCACCAAACCGCGCCCCUGUCCUCAACAUGAGAUCGCAUCGGCGUUACUCGUCCCGGCAUUGACGGAGCCUUCUUCCUUCUUCUCCGUGCGAGUUCCGGCAAACACAGCCACCUCAGCAACCGAUUGUGUCGGCGUUGCUCAUCCCGGCGCCGGUUGAGACCUAGGUUGGGGAGUGGACUCUUCCAACGGUUGCUUUUUCCUCCCGUGCCUUGAUAUCGAGACACCACCGUCGCUCUUGUAAGGUUGGAUCUGCCAUCUGAACCCUAGACCCAAUCUGCUGUCACUAUACCUCUGCACAUCGCGGCUCCGCUCACUGGAUUCUGGUGCCUCUUCCUUGCCGGCACAGAUUGGUUAUCGAUCCUUAGGGUGGAACAAACAUCAUACAUAGAAUUAGAUUGAGGCCAUCAUAGCUUCAAUCAGUCCUGUUUGCCAACGAUCCACAACUCUAUCGAUCCGAUUUUGGUAGUAAACCCCUCCGGCCGUGUUCCACCAACAGACACCUUGGAUUUGGGAUGUUGAUUUGAGAUGAGCGUAUCGAUGUGAGAUUAUUUAUCACGAUUGACAGAUAAAGGCGGGUAUUUCUUACUUUGUCUCUUUAGUUCUUUGAACUUGGUGCAUGAGCUAUUUUUGGAUAAGGACCAUUUUACCUUGACUCCACUCUUAUUUUCUUACGCUUAAUACU